AAUAUAUAAUGGGCUAGGGGUCUGAAAAAAUUGAGAGGAAUAUGUUGUCUAUCAGCUUCUUCUUUUGUAAUAUCAAUGAGAUUAGAGUUAAAUAAUAGCACAACAUAU